ensembl:lncRNA
GAGCAUUCGAUGGUUUGGACGUGUGAACCUUGACCUGUAGGUUCAUGUCCUGAGAACAUGUUGAUGCUGUGAGUAUCAAAGGUGAAGAGCUGAAUGAAGAAUAUGUUGGUAUGAUCUUAUGUGGUACCAAAAAAACUGAUUUGUUUUUUACUUACUUUGUAAACAAAUGUUUAUUGAAGGUCUAUUUAACUAUUGCAAAGAGAGGGACCAUCUGUGACUACACAAUAUAACCGCUGCUAGCUUGUUUUGUUAUUGUUUGUAAAGAUUUAACAAUAGAGAUUAUAAUAAUGCACUUUUAAAGAAGUUGGAAGCACGAGUUGUUUUUCUUUGGUCUACAUUGUGCAAGAUGUCAAAAAAUAACUGUUAUUCCACAAAACGAUCUUUGUGCAAAAAUGUAACUCCAGAAGAAACCCCAGAGCAGAUCAAUUAAUAUAUACACAUGAAUGAUUAAGGGUUUACAUUAAUGUAAAAUGAUCUAAUAAUAUGUUACACUCGGUAAAUGCUUAUAUAAUUUUUGUAAUGUGGUGUGAUGGAUAUAAUUGUGAACUGAUUAAUCUCUAACUUGCAAGGUUUUAUAUUUCCUUGAAACGCUGCCUUUCUCCAAUUUCUUUGUGUUUAUUUACUUUUCACCGUGUCAAACACUCCCCCAAAACACAGUAACUAUUCAGUGACUAUUUGUGCAAACAUAGCUUUACACUGAUCUUCAUUUCACCUCAAAUGCAGUUGAAGAGCCAAUAUGUUUGAUAAACAAAUGUAGCUUGUUUCCAGUUAUCAAGUACUGUACGGUUAUGACAGCACAGCAUUGAGUUCAAUGUAUAGCAUGAUGAAACCCUUUCUUAAUAUGAGCUUACCACAGUAUCAGUCUACAGUUUGCUUACAGCAAAACCUGGUUCAGGUGUGUGUAGCUGCAGUUUUUUUAAGUUGGAGGAUUGAACAUAACUAAGUCUAGACCAGGCGAUGUCACUCUAAGGGAGUGUGUAAUGAUUUUGGAUCCAUUUCUUAUAAUAUUUGUCUAAGGCCAUUAACUUCCAAACAUAUUUGAUAAUCAACUGCAUUUCAGGCAAGUGUCUAAUCUGUGUAAAAAAAGAGAGAGAGUCUCAUCAGGAUAUGAAAGACCUCCUGGACCUCAACUAAAGCAGGCCUGGUACACCACGAGGAGAAGCCCCCUGUGUCCCUCCUGUACAGUCAGAGGGAUCUGCGCUGUGUGUUCUAUACGUUCUAAAUGUGGCGUAUAUGUUCUGUGCGUUUGCCAAAUGGAGUGCACCGCUGCUGUCAGACUCAGCUGGUUCGAAGUGAAGGAAGCAAUAAAGAUUGAAGUCACAGAUUCCUCGUAAGUGUUUUUCAAAUACUACUGCAGUACUAUGAAUGUGUUUAUAGCUAAAAAAAACAAAACAAAUAGCAAAAUAUUUAUGUUUAGGUGUCUCGCAAUAGCAGAAAGGUAUAGAUUGAAGUAUAAUGGGUGUGUGUGUGGCGUAACUUCAGCGUUGUUCACAUUUUCUUUCCUGCUUUUUGUAAUGAUACCUCCUGAUGAUGCGUCAUGACGGUGCAACCUACUGUGUACACCAAAGCAGAAACACUACCAAUGUCGAAGAGCCAAAGUGCUGGCACCGUUAAUAUCAUAUAUUAUAAUAUUAUAAUAUUAUAAUAUAUGAUAUUAAUAUAUUAUACAACAUAAUGCCCAGCACUGGUAUUACAUCAUUUGACAGAGUAUAACUUGUUCUCUCAUCAGUUAUGUGUAGUAAUGAGGGGAUGCUGGCUCCACUGUGAAGUGUAGUUGUGAUGUGCUUUUCACAACAGGAUGUAGUAUAACACAUCAAAAGGAAGGCAGCCAGAGAGAGGUUACCAUAGCAAUAGAUGAGUAAGAUGGCAGAACAAUAGAUGAUUAAGAUGACAGAUCCGCCUGCUGUUCAGAAUGGCCUUUCAUGUGCGUUAGCGGGAGGACACACUUAUAUCUAUGUCACCCAAAUUGCUCGUCUCACUCGGUCGUUUGGUUUGCAUUGUUGUAAGCAGACACACAUGCAGUGCACAGCUUCACAUGCUGCCAGUAUAAGCUGACCAACACACCACCUAUAGAAAAAGUAUUGUAUGUUUUUUUUUUUUAAUGUCGUUUAGGAGCAGGACACCAGAGAUCUUAUUGGGAAUCCAUUCAGCACCUCUCAAGCCCAGACUCCCCUCAUGUCUGACUCCAAACAUUAUAGAAAUGUGCUGAGAGGAUUUAUGUGACUUGUUAUGAGUGGACAUAGUUGGUUUUCAUUAAUAAGCUUUUUUUUUUUUUUAAACCUUUUCUCUGAUUAUCUCUCGUUUUCUUUGAAACUUCUGUACUUGUGGGAAAACAAACACCCAAAAGAGCACUUAUGUUGAAAAAAAACGAAUCUAAGAAUGAAUUUACUCUCAGUUCCUUGUGUGUGCAAUGUUUCAUAUGCAACUUUUAUAAGGUUUUUAUAAUGGCAUUGUACAUACAGAAAGGGAAGUUUGACUAAGGCUGGCCAUGUAGCCUUGCUUAGAGGGGAGAGGAAAUCACGCACAAGUGUACAUGAUGUGCUACUGCUUCAGCUUUGCUUUCUAUUUGCCUAUGAAGUCUGCUAUAUGUAAAAUACCAUUUUUAUUUUUGAAUACUGCAAAAUAAAACACAUUCUUUAUCACACUUUGGCUGUGGAUGGAUGGUGUGCAGUGGGUGCUAUGUAUUGUGUUGUUUACACCCUUAUAAGCAUGAGAACAUGGUAAUGAUUUUACAGAUAUUUUGAGAGAUAAGUAUGAUGAUUCACCUCUAGAUGGAUGGCAAGAACAUAAAGGGUUGGG